CCGGCGUCCCCUUCCCAUUUCAAGUCAACGUCCCACACCUACGCGCCAUCCAAUCCCUCUAAUUUCUCAUACUCUCAUAUUUCUUUCCCUUGUCAAUUUAAUCACAUGUCCAAUUUUAUAAUUGACCCACUUGAGCCUCUGAGUGACUCAUCUUUUGGUGGACUCCUUUUUUUUUUUUUUUUUUUUUUGUAGCUUCUUCGAAAUUCCUUAAUCUAUAAUUAUAUAAAAGUACUCUGAUUUUUCCCAAAACAUUAUAUAAUUUUAAUUAUUCAUGUUCAUAAUUUACUAAUUUGAAAUCUUUUUCUCUUGGAAAAAAGAUAACACUAUUUUUAUUUUAUAAAUUCAAGCGACGUUGGCGGAUGAUGAAUUCGAA
rnacentral:lncRNA from 1 species